ACUUAAAUUGAAGAGUUUGAUCAUGGCUCAGAUUGAACGCUGGCGGCAGGCCUAACACAUGCAAGUCGAGCGGUAGCACAGAGAGCUUGCUCUCGGGUGACGAGCGGCGGACGGGUGAGUAAUGUCUGGGAAACUGCCUGAUGGAGGGGGAUAACUACUGGAAACGGUAGCUAAUACCGCAUAACGUCGCAAGACCAAAGUGGGGGACCUUCGGGCCUCAUGCCAUCAGAUGUGCCCAGAUGGGAUUAGCUAGUAGGUGGGGUAACGGCUCACCUAGGCGACGAUCCCUAGCUGGUCUGAGAGGAUGACCAGCCACACUGGAACUGAGACACGGUCCAGACUCCUACGGGAGGCAGCAGUGGGGAAUAUUGCACAAUGGGCGCAAGCCUGAUGCAGCCAUGCCGCGUGUGUGAAGAAGGCCUUCGGGUUGUAAAGCACUUUCAGCGGGG
rnacentral:rRNA from 1 species